rnacentral:rRNA from 1 species
GACGGAGGAUGCAAGCGUUAUCCGGAAUGAUUGGGCGUAAAGCGUCUGCAGGUGGCAGUUCAAGUCUGCUGUCAAAGACCGGGGCUUAACUUCGGAAAGGCAGUGGAAACUGAACAGCUGGAGUAUGGUAGGGGCAGAGGGAAUUCCUGGUGUAGCGGUGAAAUGCGUAGAGAUCAGGAAGAACAUCGGUGGCGAAGGCGCUCUGCUGGACCAUAACUGACACUCAGGGACGAAAGCUAGGGGAGCGAAUGGG